rnacentral:sRNA from 1 species
UGCUACUGAUUUGCAACAGCCUAUUACACCAUUAUUAUUUAUGGCAAAUGGUCCUUCAUUUGUAACUGAUACGAUUUAUCCGGAGCGUUUUAAACAUGUUGAAGAAUUAAAGCGCAUGGGUGC